rnacentral:rRNA from 1 species
AGGUAGCACAAUCACUUGUUCUUUAAAUAAGGACUAGUAUGAACGGCACCACGAAGACCAUGCUGUCUCCUUUCUCUAAUCAGUGAAACUGAUCUCCCCGUGAAGAAGCGGGGAUUAUUCUAUAAGACGAGAAGACCCUAUGAAGCUUAAAAUUUACAUCAACUGCCACCCACACACCACCUCAACCUGACAGACCUGAUUAUUAAUUUUUGGUUGGGGUGACCGCGGAGCAUAAUUAAACCUCCACAAUGAAAGGACUAACCCCCUAAUUCAAGAAUUACACUUCUAAAAAUCAAUAUAUUGACAUAAAUUGAUCCAAACCUUUGAUCAAUGAACCAAGUUACUCUAGGGAUAACAGCGCAAUCCAUUUCAAGAGCCCCUAUCGACAAAUGGGUUUACGACCUCGAUGUUGGAUCAGGGUGUCCUAGUGGUGCAACCGCUACUAAAGGUUCGUUUGUUCAACGAUUAAAACCCUACGUGAUCUG